AAGGGUAUCGCUCAGUGGUAGAGCACGUGCUCAGCACACACAAGGCCCUGGGUUCAAUCCCCGGUACCACUG
rnacentral:tRNA from 1 species